GAUGAACGCUAGCUACAGGCUUAACACAUGCAAGUCGAGGGGAAACGACAUCGAAAGCUUGCUUUUGAUGGGCGUCGACCGGCGCACGGGUGAGUAACGCGUAUCCAACCUGCCCACCACUUGGGGAUAACCUUGCGAAAGUAAGACUAAUACCCAAUGAUAUCUCUAGAAGACAUCUGAAGGAGAUUAAAGAUUUAUCGGUGAUGGAUGGGGAUGCGUCUGAUUAGCUUGUUGGCGGGGUAACGGCCCACCAAGGCGACGAUCAGUAGGGGUUCUGAGAGGAAGGUCCCCCACAUUGGAACUGAGACACGGUCCAAACUCCUACGGGAGGCAGCAGUGAGGAAUAUUGGUCAAUGGGCGAGAGCCUGAACCAGCCAAGUAGCGUGCAGGAUGACGGCCCUAUGGGUUGUAAACUGCUUUUAUAAGGGAAUAAAGUGAGUCUCGUGAGACUUUUUGCAUGUACCUUAUGAAUAAGGACCGGCUAAUUCCGUGCCAGCAGCCGCGGUAA
rnacentral:rRNA from 1 species